rnacentral:rRNA from 1 species
AUUGAACGCUGGCGGCAUGCCUUACACAUGCAAGUCGAACGGCAGCACGGGUGCUUGCACCUGGUGGCGAGUGGCGAACGGGUGAGUAAUACAUCGGAACAUGUCCUGUAGUGGGGGAUAGCCCGGCGAAAGCCGGAUUAAUACCGCAUACGAUCUACGGAUGAAAGCGGGGGACCUUCGGGCCUCGCGCUAUAGGGUUGGCCGAUGGCUGAUUAGCUAGUUGGUGGGGUAAAGCCCUACCAAGGCGACGAUCAGUAGCUGGUCUGAGAGGACGACCAGCCACACUGGGACUGAGACACGGCCCAGACUCCUACGGGAGGCAGCAGUGGGGAAUUUUGGACAAUGGGCGAAAGCCUGAUCCAGCAAUGCCGCGUGUGUGAAGAAGGCCUUCGGGUUGUAAAGCACUUUUGUCCGGAAAGAAAUCCUUGGCCCUAAUACGGUCGGGGGAUGACGGUACCGGAAGAAUAAGCACCGGCUAACUACGU